rnacentral:rRNA from 1 species
GAUGAACGCUGGCGGCGUGCCUAAUACAUGCAAGUCGAGCGAACAGACGAGGAGCUUGCUCCUCUGACGUUAGCGGCGGACGGGUGAGUAACACGUGGAGAACCUACCUAUAAGACUGGGAUAACUUCGGGAAACCGGAGCUAAUACCGGAUAAUAUAUUGAACCGCAUGGUUCAAUAGUGAAAGACGGUUUUGCUGUCACUUAUAGAUGGAUCCGCGCCGGAUUAGCUAGUUGGUAAGGUAACGGCUUACCAAGGCGACGAUGCGUAGCCGACCUGAGAGGGUGAUCGGCCACACUGGAACUGAGACACGGUCCAGACUCCUACGGGAGGCAGCAGUAGGGAAUCUUCCGCAAUGGGCGAAAGCCUGACGGAGCAACGCCGCGUGAGUGAUGAAGGUCUUCGGAUCGUAAAACUCUGUUAUUAGGGAAGAACAAAUGUGUAAGUAACUAUGCACGUCUUGACGGUACCUAAUCAGAAAGCCACGGCUAACUACGUG